rnacentral:rRNA from 1 species
CCUACGGGAGGCAGCAGUGAGGAAUAUUGGUCAAUGGACGAGAGUCUGAACCAGCCAAGUAGCGUGAAGGAUGACUGCCCUAUGGGUUGUAAACUUCUUUUAUAAAGGAAUAAAAUGUUCCACGUGUGGGUUUUUGUAUGUACCUUAUGAAUAAGGAUCGGCUAACUCCGUGCCAGCAGCCGCGGUAAUACGGAGGAUCCGAGCGUUAUCCGGAUUUAUUGGGUUUAAAGGGAGCGUAGGUGGAUUGUUAAGUCAGUUGUGAAAGUUUGCGGCUCAACCGUAAAAUUGCAGUUGAAACUGGCAGUCUUGAGUACAGUAGAGGUGGGCGGAAUUCGUGGUGUAGCGGUGAAAUGCUUAGAUAUCACGAAGAACUCCGAUUGCGAAGGCAGCUCACUGGACUGCAACUGACACUGAGGCUCGAAAGUGUGGGUAUCAAACAGGAUUAGAUACCCUUGUAGUC